AUGGUCCGGCAGGCCCCGCACCUCCACCCCGCGGGAGGCUGGCGGCCCACGACGCGCCCCUCCUCCGCGGGCUCGGGUUUCCUGGCUGGCACCGCGCGUCCCGUGCGACCUGCUGGGGCGCAGAAACCCCAAUCCUGGGGCCGGCCGGAGCCGCCGGGGCCGAGGCCGCUGCCUCCUCGCCGGGAGCCAGAUUGCUUUUUUCCGGUGAGGAGGUCGGGUGGGGGAGGAGCGCGGAGGGGCAGAAGGGGAGGCCGGGCGAGCCCCCGGCCUGAGCGCCCGGGUCCCCGCGGGGGCGGGGCGGGGGCCACACCUGGGGGAAACGCGCUUAGAGGCUGCGGCGGGAGAAGGCGGCUGCGCCGGGCGGCAGGGGCGAUCUUCCCCGCCUUCCUCCCGGCCCCGAGCUCCUCUGGUGGGCUUUCCAGGCGCCUCCAGGAAUUUGAAGGAGAAUUCCCGCAGACCUGCGAUGGCUGCAGCAGCUCUGGUUGCUUCUGGGCGCCCUAAGUCUCCAAGCCCGCGUGAGGGCUGGGAAUGGACAUGGUCGGGGAAGACACUCAGGGUAAGCUGAACACAUUGCUUCAGGGAGGGUGUGGCAGGAGGGGGGCGGUGGCAGCUCGCCUCAAAUCCUGUGCUCCGUUUAGGAUGCCCAAGAACUCUGGCCAAGAAUAGCCUACCUAUUGAUCUCACCCUUUCUGUCCUGUCCUCCAACAGCCAGCUGAGGCAAGAGGGCAGCUGAGGCAGGAAGCCAGGGCAGAGAUCCUCUCAGGCUUCAGCCCUCCCAGCUGGCUUCUAACUAACGUCUCUCUGUUCAGUCCCUCUGACUCCCCUGGCUGUGACUUCCCAACCACCCAGCCCCAGUCUCACUGCCUUGGACACUUGGAAGGACCACCUGUCCUGGAAGCUCUUUCCUCCCCGGCCCGCCCUAGACCGUCCUUUCUUCCUUCCAUCUCAGACUGUUUCUUUCCUGGCCCUGCUUCGUAGAAACGGGCCCCGAGAUUUUUGCCUAUCUCUUAUUCCCCUGUCUCUUUCUGAGAAAACCAGCGUGUCACCUGCCACCGCCUCACACCCAACUGCUUUCUCCCCCAAACUCUGCACCUUGGCUGGACUUCCCAAGCUGCAGAGACACUGAGCUCUGUCUCAAUGACUGCAAUGGCUUUCCACGUGUCUCUCUCCUACUCACACACUCCUCAGGACAUCACAUAGUUUGUUCAAAUCGCCUUACCUUCUCUUAAACUACAGCUCUGCCUCUAUCACACCAUCUUUAGUAGACUCAGCAUGGCUUGCAAGCCCCUGCCCAGUCCUGCCCAGGCCCCCCUUCAGCCCUGUCCUUCCAGCUCCCCUUCAAGAAUGCUGGCAAAACUACAACCUUUGCAUCCAUCAGGCACAUUGGGCCCAUUUUUUUUUUUUUUUUUUGGCCAUGCCACACAGCUUGUGGGAUCUUAGUUCUCUGACCAGGGAUCAAACCCUUUCCCUCUGAAGUAGAAGCGCAGAGUCCCAACCACUGAAUUGCCCAGGAAUUCCCGCUGGACCCAUCUUUGCUCAUGAGUUUCCCACUGCCCAGGAUACCCUUCGCCAGCAUGCUAGCAUGUCCACACCACAGCCAUCUCCUCAGCUCCACAGAUGCCCUUCACUCCCCCAGGGGCAGUGGCCAUCUCUGCUGUCCUUGGUUCCUCUGGCCAUGAACUUGCCCUGGCUUUGGGGGCACAUAUCACAGCUUCUCCAGAACUGUACUUACCAUGUUCGUGUCAUGGUUCUGCAGGACAACAAGGGACUCCGAUGUAGAUUCAGUCAGUCUUUGGCUCCCCCGUAAUACCCAGCACGGUAUGUUACACAGAGUAUUUAUUGAAGAAAUAAACCAAC
ensembl:lncRNA